rnacentral:rRNA from 1 species
ACCUACGGCCAUGCCACCCUGAAUAACCUCGAUCCUGUCUGAUCUUGGAAGCUAAGCAGGGUCGGGCCUUGUUAGUACUUGAAUAGGAGACUACCUAGGAAGACCAAGUGAUGUAGGCA